rnacentral:rRNA from 1 species
AGUUUGAUCCUGGCUCAGGAUGAACGCUAGCGACAGGCUUAACACAUGCAAGUCGAGGGGCAGCACAGGUAGCAAUACCGGGUGGCGACCGGCGCACGGGUGAGUAACGCGUAUGCAACUUGCCUAUCAGAGGGGGAUAACCCGGCGAAAGUCGGACUAAUACCGCAUGAAGCAGGGGCCCCGAGGGGGAAAUUUGCUAAAGAUUCUCUCGCUGAUAAAAUAGGCCUCGUUUCCCUUAGGGCAGUGGGCGGGGGAACGGGCCCACAAACCGGGGGGUGGAAGGGGUUCUGAGAAGGAAGGUCCCCCCACAUUGGUACGUGAGCACGGGCCCAAAUUCCUUACGGGAGCCACCAGUGAGGAAUAUUGGUCAAUGGGCGUAAGCCUGAACCAGCCAAGUCGCGUGAGGGAUGAAGGUUCUAAUGGAUCGUAAACCUCUUUUUAUAAGGGAAUAAAGUGCGGGACGUGUCCCGUUUUGUAUGUACCUUAUGAAUAAGGAUCGGCUAACUCCGUGCCAGCAGCCGCGGUAAUACGGAGGAUCCGAGCGUUAUCCGGAUUUAUUGGGUUUAAAGGGUGCGUAGGCGGCCUUUUAAGUCAGCGGUGAAAGUCUGUGGCUCAACCAUAGAAUUGCCGUUGAAACUGGGAGGCUUGAGUAUGUUUGAGGCAGGCGGAAUGCGUGGUGUAGCGGUGAAAUGCUUAGAUAUCACGCAGAACCCCGAUUGCGAAGGCAGCCUGCCAAGCCAUGACUGACGCUGAUGCACGAAAGCGUGGGGACCAAACAGGAUUAGAUACCCUGGUAGUCCACGCAGUAAACGAUGAUCACUAGCUGUUUGCGAUACACAGUAAGCGGCACAGCGAAAGCGUUAAGUGAUCCACCUGGGGAGUACGCCGGCAACGGUGAAACUCAAAGGAAUUGACGGGGGCCCGCACAAGCGGAGGAACAUGUGGUUUAAUUCGAUGAUACGCGAGGAACCUUACCCGGGUUUGAACGCAUUCGGACCGAGGUGGAAACACCUUUUCUAGCAAUAGCCGUUUGCGAGGUGCUGCAUGGUUGUCGUCAGCUCGUGCCGUGAGGUGUCGGCUUAAGUGCCAUAACGAGCGCAACCCUUGCCACUAGUUACUAACAGGUGAUGCUGAGGACUCUGGUGGGACUGCCAGCGUAAGCUGCGAGGAAGGCGGGGAUGACGUCAAAUCAGCACGGCCCUUACAUCCGGGGCGACACACGUGUUACAAUGGCGUGGACAAAGGGAAGCCACCUGGCGACAGGGAGCGAAUCCCCAAACCACGUCUCAGUUCGGAUCGGAGUCUGCAACCCGACUCCGUGAAGCUGGAUUCGCUAGUAAUCGCGCAUCAGCCAUGGCGCGGUGAAUACGUUCCCGGGCCUUGCACACACCGCCCGUC